rnacentral:rRNA from 1 species
AGAGUUUGAUCCUGGCUCAGAACGAACGCUGGCGGCGUGCCUAACACAUGCAAGUCGAACGAGAAAGGGGCUUCGGCUCCGAGUAAAGUGGCGCACGGGUGAGUAACACGUGGGUAACCUGCCUCUAAGAUUGGGAUAACUCGUCGAAAGAUGAGCUAAUACCGGAUAAGACCACAGUUCCCGCGGGAACAGGGGUCAAAGGUAGCCUCUGCUUGCAAGCUAUCACUUAGAGAUGGGCCUGCGCACCAUUAGCUAGUUGGUAGGGUAACGGCCUACCAAGGCAAAGAUGGUUAGCUGGUCUGAGAGGAUGAUCAGCCACACUGGAACUGAGACACGGUCCAGACUCCUACGGGAGGCAGCAGUGGGGAAUAUUGCGCAAUGGGCGAAAGCUUGACGCAGCAACGCCGCGUGAGUGAUGAAGGCCUUCGGGUCGUAAAGCUCUGUCGGGAGGAACGAAUGCUCUCAAGGUUAACAGCCUCGGGAGGUGACGGUACCUUCAAAGGAAGCACCGGCUAACUCUGUGCCAGCAGCCGCGGUAAUACAGAGGGUGCAAGCGUUGUUCGGAAUCAUUGGGCGU